UUUUAUUUGAGAGUUUGAUCCUGGCUCAGGAUGAACGCUGGCGGCGUGCCUAACACAUGCAAGUUGAGCGAUUUACUUCGGUAAAGAGCGGCGGACGGGUGAGUAACGCGUGGGUAACCUCCCCUGUACACACGGAUAACAUACCGAAAGGUAUGCUAAUACGGGAUAAUAUAUUUGAGAGGCAUCUCUUGAAUAUCAAAGGUGAGCCAGUACAGGAUGGACCCGCGUCUGAUUAGCUAGUUGGUAAGGUAACGGCUUACCAAGGCGACGAUCAGUAGCCGACCUGAGAGGGUGAUCGGCCACAUUGGAACUGAGACACGGUCCAAACUCCUACGGGAGGCAGCAGUGGG
rnacentral:rRNA from 1 species